UAGUGACAGGUGCUGCAUGGCUGUCGUCAGCUCGUGUCGUGAGAUGUUGGGUUAAGUUUUGCAACGAGCGCAACCCUCGUCCUUAGUUGCCAUCAUUUAGUUGGGAACUCUAAGGAAACCGCCGGUGAUAAGCCGGAGGAAGGUGGGGAUGACGUCAAGUCCUCAUGGCCCUUACAGGCUGGGCUACACACGUGCUACAAUGGCGGUGACAGUGGGCAGCUAUCCCGCAAGGGUGAGCUAAUCUCCAAAAGCCGUCUCAGUUCGGAUUGUCCUCUGCAACUCGAGGGCAUGAAGGCGGAAUCGCUAGUAAUCGCGGAUCAGCAUGCCGCGGUGAAUACGUUCCCAGGCCUUGUACACACCGCCCGUCACGCCAUGGGAGUUGGUUUCACCCGAAGGUGGUGCGCUAACCCGCAAGGGAGGCAGCCAAC
rnacentral:rRNA from 1 species